rnacentral:rRNA from 1 species
UACGGAGGGUGCAAGCGUUAUCCGGAUUCACUGGGUUUAAAGGGUGCGUAGGCGGGCAGGUAAGUCAGUGGUGAAAUCUCCAAGCUUAACUUGGAACUGCCGUUGAUACUAUCUGUCUUGAAUACUGUGGAGGUGAGCGGAAUAUGUCAUGUAGCGGUGAAAUGCUUAGAUAUGACAUAGAACACCAAAUUGCGAAGGCAGCUCACUACACAGCCAUUGACGCUGAGGCACGAAAGCGUGGGGAUCAAACAGG